ACGGGUGAGGAAUACAUCGGAAUCUACUCUGUCGUGGGGGAUAACGUAGGGAAACUUACGCUAAUACCGCAUACGACCUACGGGUGAAAGCAGGGGAUCUUCGGACCUUGCGCGAUUGAAUGAGCCGAUGUCGGAUUAGCUAGUUGGCGGGGUAAAGGCCCACCAAGGCGACGAUCCGUAGCUGGUCUGAGAGGAUGAUCAGCCACACUGGAACUGAGACACGGUCCAGACUCCUACGGGAGGCAGCAGUGGGGAAUAUUGGACAAUGGGCGCAAGCCUGAUCCAGCCAUACCGCGUGGGUGAAGAAGGCCUUCGGGUUGUAAAGCCCUUUUGUUGGGAAAGAAAUCCAGCUGGCUAAUACCCGGUUGGGAUGACGGUACCCAAAGAAUAAGCACCGGCUAACUUCGUGCCAGCAGCCGCGGUAAUACGAAGGGUGCAAGCGUUACUCGGAAUUACUGGGCGCAAAGCGUGCGUAGGUGGUCGUUUAAGUCCGUUGUGAAAGCCCUGGGCUCAACCUGGGAACUGCAGUGGAUACUGGGCGACUAGAGUGUGGUAGAGGGUAGCGGAAUUCCUGGUGUA
rnacentral:rRNA from 1 species